rnacentral:rRNA from 1 species
GACGAACGCUGGCGGCGUGCUUAACACAUGCCAGUCGAACGGAAAGGCCCCUUUGGGGGUCCUCGAGUGGCGAACGGGUGAGUAACACGUGAGUAACCUGCCCUUGACUUCGGGAUAACUUCAGGAAACUGGGGCUAAUACCGGAUAGGAAUCCUUGCUGCAUGGUGGGGGUUGGAAAGCUUCGGCGGUUUUGGAUGGACUCGCGGCUUAUCAGCUUGUUGGUGGGGUAGUGGCUUACCAAGGCUUUGACGGGUAGCCGGCCUGAGAGGGCGACCGGCCACAUUGGGACUGAGAUACGGCCCAGACUCCUACGGGAGGCAGCAGUGGGGAAUAUUGCACAAUGGGCGGAAGCCUGAUGCAGCAACGCCGCGUGCGGGAUGACGGCCUUCGGGUUGUAAACCGCUUUCAGCAGGGGCGAAGCUUGUGGUGACGGUACCUGCAGAAGAAGCACCGGCUAACUACGUG